GACGAACGCUGGCGGCGUGCUUAACACAUGCAAGUCGAACGGAAAGGCCUCUUUCGGGGGGUACUCGAGUGGCGAACGGGUGAGUAACACGUGAGUAACCUGCCCUUGACUUUGGGAUAACUUCAGUAAACUGGGGCUAAUACCGGAUAGGAGCUCCUGCUGCAUGGUGGGGGUUGGACAGUUUCGGCGGUUGGGGAUGGACUCGCGGCUUAUCAGCUUGUUGGUGGGGUAGUGGCUUACCAAGGCUUUGACGGGUAGCCGGCCUGAGAGGGUGACCGGCCACAUUGGGACUGAGAUACGGCCCAGACUCCUACGGGAGGCAGCAGUGGGGAAUAUUGCACAAUGGGUGGAAGCCUGAUGCAGCAACGCCGUGUGCGGGAUGACGGCCUUCGGGUUGUAAACCGCUUUCGCUCAUGACGAAGCUUUGUGUGACGGUAGUGGGUAAAGAAGCACCGGCUAACUACGUG
rnacentral:rRNA from 1 species